CAUAUUAGUAGGCGGUGGAAGAUAAUCCAAAAGGGAUUCCYUCMGUAAUGGCGAAUGAACGGGGAAAAGCUCAGCAAAGAAAUCGAGGACUCCGGCCUUGAGUUGUGGACUUGAGAGGUAUCGCCAAUGGUGGCACAGGUGGGGGCCUCUUGGAAAAGGGCACCACAGAGGGUGUGAGUCCUGUUUGCCAUCUGUAGUCCGCUGUGUACGGCAUGCCUCCUCCGAGUCACGUUCCUUGGAAUUGGAGCGCGAAGGUGGUGGUGGCUUUCAUCUCAAGCUAAGUAUGGGUUCGAGACCGAUAGCAAACAAGUACCAUGAGGGAAAAUUGAAAAGAGCUUUGGAAAGAGAGUUAAAAGUGCCCGAACUUGCUGAUAGGGAAGCGAAGGGAGCUGACGUUGCUUGGUAACAUCUUCCGCGCAGGACUAGGAUGGGUUCUGAUUGCAAUGUGUGUUGUGUUUCUUGCCAUGCGUGUCAAUGCCAAGUAAUGAGUGGGGAGAGCUCCAGGGAUAAUGAUUGUUUCUGUCCCCGGGUAGACGAAUAUGUCUGGGUGCAUCCAUUUGUGGGCUGAAAAAUUGGUGGUUGGUUGCAGCUCCCUGCCUACGAGGCAAUUGGGGUGUAGCCCUGACACGCAGACGAGGACAAAGUGCUUCUGUUCGACCCGUCUUGAAACACGGACCAAGGAGUCUGACACUCAUGCAAGCUCGUUGGUGGGUAAACUUCUUUGCGUAAUUAAGGUGUCUGUUGUGAUUUGUGCACCAACGCCCGACCAAUCAAUUGAGAGAGGUUUGAGUGUGAGCAUUUCUGUCAGGACCCGAAAGAUGGUGAACUAUGCUUGAGAAGGGUAAAUUCAGGGGAAACUCUGAUUGAGGCUCGUAGCGAUACUGACGUGCAAAUCGUUCGUCAUACUUGGGU
rnacentral:rRNA from 1 species